CAUGUAGGUGGAUACUUAAGUCUGUUGUGAAAAUGCGGGGCUCAACCCCGUGUUGCGAUGGAAACUGGGUGUCUUGAGUGCAAGAGAGGAAAGGGGAAUUCCCAGUGUAGCGGUGAAAUGCGUAGAUAUUGGGAGGAACACCAGUGGCGAAGGCGCCUUUCUGGACUGUGUCUGACACUGAGAUGCGAAAGCUAGGGGAGCGAACG
rnacentral:rRNA from 1 species